rnacentral:rRNA from 1 species
AUUGAACGCUGGCGGCAUGCCUUACACAUGCAAGUCGAACGGCAGCACGGGAGCAAUCCUGGUGGCGAGUGGCGAACGGGUGAGUAAAGUAUCGGAACGUGCCCAGUCGUGGGGGAUAACGUAGCGAAAGUUACGCUAAUACCGCAUACGAUCUAUGGAUGAAAGCGGGGGAUCGCAAGACCUCGCGCGAUUGGAGCGGCCGAUAUCAGAUUAGGUAGUUGGUGGGGUAAAGGCUCACCAAGCCGACGAUCUGUAGCUGGUCUGAGAGGACGACCAGCCACACAGGGACUGAGACACGGCCCAGACUCCUACGGGAGGCAGCAGUGGGGAAUUUUGGACAAUGGGCGAAAGCCUGAUCCAGCCAUGCCGCGUGCAGGAUGAAGGCCUUCGGGUUGUAAACUGCUUUUGUACGGAACGAAAAGGUUUGGCCUAAUAAGCUGAGCUCAUGGCGGUACCGUAAGAAUAAGCACCGGCUAACUACGUGCCAGCAGCCGCAGUAA